CCUACGGGUGGCAGCAGUGAGGAAUAUUGGUCAAUGGACGAAAGUCUGAACCAGCCAUGCCGCGUGCAGGAUGACGGCUCUCUGAGUUGUAAACUGCUUUUGUAUUGGGGUAAACACCCCUAAGUGUAUGGGCUUGCCAGUAUCAUACGAAUAACGAUAGGCUAACUCCGUGCCAGCAGCCGCGGUAAUACGGAGGAUCCAAGCGUUAUCCGGAUUUCUUGGGUUUAAAGGGUGCGUAGGCGGUUGGAUAAGUUAGAGGGGAAAUACCGGUGCUGAACCCCGGAACUGCCUCUAAUACUGGUGAACUAGAGAGUAGUUGCGGUAGGCGGAAUGUAUGGUGUAGCGGUGAAAUGCUUAGAGAUCAUACAGAACACCGAUUGCGAAGGCAGCUUACCAAACUAUAUCUGACGUUGAGGCACGAAAGCGUGGGUAGCAAACAGGAUUAGAUACCCCUGUAGUCC
rnacentral:rRNA from 1 species